rnacentral:lncRNA from 1 species
UCUUUUUCUAUUUUUAUUUUUAAAUUGUUUUUUCUUUAAAAAUUAAUAGUAAUUUUAUUUUUAUCCAAAAAAUCCCAAAAUAAUUUCUAAAAUUCUCUUUUAUUUUUCUUCAUAUGAUUUUUAUUUUCCAUAUUUUAUUUCAUUAAUUUUCUAAUUUUUUUUAUGAAUUUUCUCUUUUCUCUUUUGUUGUAAUGGGUUUAAAAAUACUUUUCUGCAUUUUAAAAUUC